rnacentral:rRNA from 1 species
UACGGGGGGAGCAAGCGUUGUUCGGAAUUACUGGGCGUAAAGGGCGCGUAGGCGGCACGGCAAGUCAGGAGUGAAAGGCCUGGGCUCAACCGAGGAACUGCUUUUGAGACUGCCGAGCUAGAGUGCAGAAGGGGCAACUGGAAUUCCCAGUGUAGCGGUGAAAUGCGUAGAUAUUGGGAAGAACACCUGAGGCGAAGGCGGGUUGCUGGGCUGACACUGACGCUGAGGCGCGAAAGCCAGGGGAGCAAACGGG